UACGGAGGGUGCGAGCGUUGUCCGGAAUCACUGGGCGUAAAGGGCGCGUAGGUGGCGGAGCAAGUCAACGGUGAAAGCUCGACGCUCAACGUCGAGUCGGCCGUCGAGACUGCUUUGCUCGAGCACUGUAGAGGCAGAUGGAAUUCCAGGUGUAGCGGUGAAAUGCGUAGAUAUCUGGAGGAACACCGGUGGCGAAGGCGGCGAUCCUCGGACCGAGACUGACGCUGAGGAGCGAAAGCCAGGGGAGCAAAGCGGG
rnacentral:rRNA from 1 species